AGGAGGAGGAGGUAAGCGAAACUUCCCCUCCCCAGCUACAUUCCAACCGGGUCCUGGGGGCAGUGGAUGAGCCUGCGAUACCCACUGACCCCCUCCCAGCAGAAGAGCUGGCAUCUGGGCAGAGCUCUGUUAGCCUCUGCCCCCCCUUUUCCCCUGUAUCAGAGCCUGACUUACCACGGGUUACCCCAGUGGAAGAGCUGGCAGCAGGGCAGAGCACCGCUGGCCUCUGCCCCCCAAGCAACACCAGCAGUUUGCCUAGCUGCACCAGGGAGACCGAGAGUGCUGCGCUGUCCCACUACAAACUUGAACCUACAG